CACGUAGGGACCAAGCGUUGUCCGGAUUCGUUGGGCGUAAAGAGCUCGUAGGCGGUUCCGUAAGUCGAGUGUGAAAAAUCUGGGCUCAACCCAGUGGAGCACUCGAUACUGCGGUGACUGGAGUACGGUAGAGGAGUGUGGAAUUCCUGGUGUAGCGGUGAAAUGCGCAGAUAUCAGGAGGAACACCAACGGCGAAGGCAGCACUCUGGGCCGGUACUGACGCUGAGGAGCGAAAGCGUGGGGAGCGAACAGG
rnacentral:rRNA from 1 species